CAGUCAUACCAACGGGAAAUCAACCUUUUGAGCUCGGUCUCGUGGGUUUUGAAGAGUUUCAAAGCCUUCGGAUUCGCGGGAUUGGGAUCUCUUGGUGUACUUUUUCGUACGGUUAGUCAACAUCGGUUUUGAAUGUCAUAAAAUGACUGGAGGAAUGUAGCUUCGAUCUCGUAUUGAAGUGUUAUAGCCUUUGGUAGAUGUGAUGUUUGAGACCGAGGAUUGCAACGGAUACCCUUCAGGGCUAUUCGUCUGAUCUCUGAUACGUUGCCUUGAUGUUGAAAGCUUGCUUAUGAUGUUAGGGUAUUACGGUCAAAAGGUUAGAACGAAUUACA
rnacentral:rRNA from 1 species